rnacentral:rRNA from 1 species
AUGGCGACCGGCGCACGGGUGAGUAACACGUAUCCAACCUGCCGAUGACUCGGGGAUAGCCUUUCGAAAGAAAGAUUAAUACCCGAUGGCAUAGUUCUUCCGCAUGGUAGAACUAUUAAAGAAUUUCGGUCAUCGAUGGGGAUGCGUUCCAUUAGCUUGUUGGCGGGGUAACGGCCCACCAAGGCAUCGAUGGAUAGGGGUUCUGAGAGGAAGGUCCCCCACACUGGAACUGAGACACGGUCCAAACUCCUACGGAAGGCAGCAG